rnacentral:misc_RNA from 1 species
GAUGAAGAACGCAGCGAAAUGCGAUACGUAAUGUGGAUUGCAGAAUUCAGUGAAUCAUCGAAUCUUUGAACGCAUAUUGCGCUCUCUGGUAUUCCGGAGAGCAUGCUUGUUUGAGUAUCAGUAAACACCUCAACUUCCAUAUCUUUUUUGAAAUGGGAGUUGGACUUGAGUGAUCCCAACGCUUUUCCUCACCGAAAAGUGGCGGGUUACUUGAAAUGCAGGUGCAGCUGGACUUUUCUCUGAGCUAUAAGCAUAUCUAUUUAGUCUGCCUAAAAAACAGAUUAUUACCUUUGCUGCAGCUAACAUAAAGGAGAUUAGUUCUUGUGCUGACUGAUGCAGGAUUCACAAAGACAGGCUUCGGCCGACUUUGUAAACUCGAUCUCAAAUCAAGUAAGACUACCCGCUGAACUUAAGCAUAUCAAUAAGCGGAGGAA